rnacentral:rRNA from 1 species
AUGCUGAGGCCGUGCGCUGCCUCCUGGCCGGCACCGAGGAGUCCGCGCUCUACAUCGUGGAGGACGCCGAGGCCGUGCGCCAGCCGACGGCAAGGACGCCUCCCCUCCUCCCCAUCCCCGCCCCCACCCUCACACGUCGGGCCUGCGCUCCCUGGCGACGCGGAGGAGUACGUGCGCGGCUCCAUCGAGGCCUCCCUCGGCCUCCCCGUGCCCGACCGCUUGUUCCGCGCCAAGCUCGCCGCCUCUGAGGACCUGCGCCGCCGCCUCCAGGACCACGUCUUCGCGCUCGAGGAGGACCUCCUAGCCGCUGCCCGCCGCAUCGACCUCGUCAGGAACGAGUCGGCGAUGAACACGAAGGGGAUCUACGAGCGGCCGUGGCGGCCGCGCGCGACCAACUCGCCGCCCACGCCGCUAGGCUCGAGAAGGAGUGCGGCCUCUACGAGCGUGACCUGGAGCACGCCAUGGAGUCCUACGACGAGCUCGCCAGGGAGAGCGACGACCUACGCAAGCGCCUCCGGGACGCCCCUGACGUUACCACACUGA